GAUGAACGCUGGCGGCGUGCCUAAUACAUGCAAGUCGAGCGCUCGGACGAGGUACUUGCUCUUAUGGUAUUAGCGGCGGACGGGUGAGUAACACGUGGAUAACCUACCUAUAAGACUGGGACAACUUUGGGAAACGAAUGCUAAUACCGCAUAAUAUCUUGAACCGCAAGGUUCAAGAGUGAAAGAUGCUAUUGCUUUCACUUAUAGAUGUAUCCGCGCUGCUUUAGCUAGUUGGUAAGGUAACGGCAUACCAAGGCAACGAUGAAUAGCCGACCUGAGAGGUUGAUCGGCCACACUGGAACUGGGACACGGCCCAGACUCCUACGGGAGGCGGCGGUAGGGAAUCUUCGGCAAUGGGCGAAAGCCGGACGGAGAAACGCCGCGGGAGGGAUGAAGGUCUUCGGAUCGUAAAACUCGGUUAUUAGGAAAGAACAUAGGUGUAAGUAACUGUGCACAACUUGACGGUACCUAAUCAGAAAGCCACGGCUAACUACGUG
rnacentral:rRNA from 1 species